UACGGAGGAUGCAAGCGUUAUCCGGAAUUAUUGGGCGUAAAGCGUCCGCAGGUGGCAAUGUAAGUCUGCUGUUAAAGAGUCUAGCUCAACUAGAUAAAAGCAGUGGAAACUACAUAGCUAGAGUACGUUCGGGGCAGAGGGAAUUCCUGGUGUAGCGGUGAAAUACGUAGAGAUCAGGAAGAACACCGGUGGCGAAGGCGCUCUGCUAGGCCGUAACUGACACUGAGGGACGAAAGCUAGGGGAGCGAAUGGG
rnacentral:rRNA from 1 species